UUGCCAGUGCUGAAAUCAGUUAAUAAACACGCAAACUUUGGGGACUGAAUGGCAUUUUUAAUGCCUUGCUGUUAAUUCUGCAAUUCUGAGGCUC
rfam:Lupinus angustifolius cultivar Tanjil chromosome LG04, whole genome shotgun sequence.